AUACGGAAGGUCCGGGCGUUAUCCGGAUUUAUUGGGUUUAAAGGGAGCGCAGGCGGAGAUGCAAGCGUGACGUCAAAUUUCGGGGCUCAACCCCGUCUCGCGUCGCGAACUGCGUCCCUUGGUUGCGGGAAGGGGAGGCGGAACUCGUGGUGUAGCGGUGAAAUGCAUAGAUAUCACGAAAAACUCCGAUCGCGAAGGCAGCCUUCCGGCCCGUCAACGACGCUCAUGCUCGAAGGUGCGGGUAUCAAACAGGAUUAGAUACCCUGGUAGUCCGCACAGUAAACGAUGGACACCCGCGGUUUGGCCUGUAUGGCUGAGCCGCCAAGCGAAAGCGUUAAGUGUCCCACCUGGGGAGUACGCCGGCAACGGUGAAACUCAAAGGAAUUGACGGGG
rnacentral:rRNA from 1 species